CACCAAUCAAGCCUGGCUUGGUAUUGGGCCACGGGGCGACCCGGGCCUCAAAGUCCGCCGGCUGGAAAGCUCUGAUCUCAGCGUCGUGGUUAAUCAAUUCGCUAGGAGAGGGGCGGUCCACGCCGUGAAAUCCAUCACA
rnacentral:misc_RNA from 1 species